UUUGAACGCUGGCGGCAUGCUUUACACAUGCAAGUCGAACGGUAACAGGUUAAGCUGACGAGUGGCGAACGGGUGAGUAAUGCAUCGGAACGUGCCCGAUCGUGGGGGAUAACACUUCGAAAGAAGUGCUAAUACCGCAUACGAUCUGAGGAUGAAAGCGGGGGACCGUAAGGCCUCGUGCGAUCGGAGCGGCCGAUGUCAGAUUAGGUAGUUGGUGGGGUAAAGGCUCACCAAGCCGACGAUCUGUAGCUGGUCUGAGAGGACGACCAGCCACACUGGGACUGAGACACGGCCCAGACUCCUACGGGAGGCAGCAGUGGGGAAUUUUGGACAAUGGGCGCAAGCCUGAUCCAGCAAUGCCGCGUGCAGGAAGAAGGCCUUCGGGUUGUAAACUGCUUUUGUACGGAGCGAAAAGGCUCCCUCUAAUACAGGGGGCUCAUGACGGUACCGUAAGAAUAAGCACCGGCUAACUACGUGCCAGCCGCCGCGGUAA
rnacentral:rRNA from 1 species